rnacentral:lncRNA from 1 species
CUGCACUGGCCAGAGGCAACUGAGUGUGAGCCAGUCCAGGGUCAGAUCCUGGGCUGAUGCCACCUGAGGGCGGGGUGGGGGCGUGGCCUCCGUGCACAUGGGAGACUCCAGGUGCAGGAGAGGGGGAGGUGGACUUCCUCUUGGUCUUCCCAAGCCAUGAAACUUCCUGGCUUGGUGGUAACAGAAGAGUCUCCUCCAGGACGGACUAGCCAGUCCUAACACAGGACUAGCGUUGCUCUACCACGUCCAAGCCUCCUCUGAGAUUCUUCCUCCAUGCAACCACUUCCCCUGGGGCGUGGCCACCUCCCUGGAAGCCGCCAGCAUGCUCGGCUGGGCCCCCGCACUCUGGAGGCUUGAGAAUCUCUCUAUUUUUGAAUGACGUCCUUAUCCUCUGCCCCCAGGCUGGUAACCAAAGGUCUGGGGGUGGUGACGUGCUGGGAAUGGUGUAACUCGUGAGAUGGAGGCUGAAUGUGGAAAUACAUGAAUGUGCUUCUCUUCUCUCCAGUUCCCUUGAAGAAUCCACCUUCCUGCAGGGUUGGGGGAGCGCAGAAUGGGAGGAAGAUACAAAUACCAAUUUUAUAGCAAGAAUGCAAAAAGAGGCCAGCGCGGUGGCUCGAGCCUGGAAUCCCAGCACUUUGGAAGGCGAGCUGGGCGGAUCACUUGAGAUGUGACCAGGUGACCCCCCUCUGGCCAGGGAACAAUGGGCCGAAGUCCUCAGGGGAUUUGUGGGGAAGCGCGCCCCCUCCUCCUUGGGGUUUUCUUGCGGAGCUGCUGUGAAGACUCAGCUCAGCUGUGAUAAUUACCUGAGGUCAGCUUCUCCAGAAUGCCCUUAUCUCCUAAGGCCUUUGAGAUAAGCAGGAAUUGUGGUGUCUGCCUUGCCUCCAAACCUUUAUCCUUGCUUAUCUCAGUGGAAAAUUCCAGCAGGGAUUUCUGAACACCAAGUUAAAUUCCUCCACUCAACAAUCAGUUUGGCACGUGGCUGCCCGCCAGUCUGGGCAGAACAGAGGGGAGCCAAGGGAAUAAACCCAAGUCCUGCCCCCAGGUGCCCAGAGCCUGGCGGGGAUGGGACAGUUGCCUGCAGAGCAAGAGGCUGCCACCCAGUUUCACACAGGCCAGAGAGGCUGACCUACCUGCCCAGAGGCAGGGGAAGAAUCCAGAGGACCUCUCCCGGAGGAGGCACGAGAAGCCCACGUGGCAGCCAAGAAGAGGGAGAGCAUCCUGGGCCCCGGAAGCACAAUGCCAGGGGCAGACAUGCACUGGGAGGCACGGGGCCAGGGACACCUUCAGUGAGCACAGGGUCUGGGUAGGCUUCGGGAGGGGUGAGGGCGGAGAGGCAGCCAAGCCGGGUUGUGGGAGGCCCUGCCUAAUUCUGUAAAGACUAGGAUUAGAAACAUGACAAAAAUGGGUUAGGCACGGUGGCUCACACCUGUUAUCCACUUUGGGAGGCUGAGGCUGGUGGAUCAUCUGAGGCUGGGAGUUCAAGACCAACCUGGCCAACAUGGUGAAACCCCGUCUCUACUAAAAAUACAAAAAUUAGCCGGGCGUGGUGGCGCACACCUAUUAAUCCCAGGUACUAAGGAGGUUGAGGCAGGAGAAUUGCUUCAACCCAGGAGGCAGAGGUUGCAGUGAGCCCAGACCAUGCCACUGCACUCCAGCCUGGGCAACAGAACAAGUCUCUGUCUGAAAAAUAAAAUAAAA